rnacentral:rRNA from 1 species
GACGAACGCUGGCGGCGUGCUUAACACAUGCAAGUCGAACGGAAAGGCCUUUUCGGAGGUACUCGAGUGGCGAACGGGUGAGUAACACGUGGGUGAUCUGCCCUGCACUCUGGGAUAAGCCUGGGAAACUGGGUCUAAUACCGGAUAGGACCGCACUUUAGUGUGUGUGGUGGAAAGUUUUUUCGGUGUAGGAUGAGCCCGCGGCCUAUCAGCUUGUUGGUGGGGUAAUGGCCUACCAAGGCGGCGACGGGUAGCCGGACUGAGAGGUUGGUCGGCCACAUUGGGACUGAGAUACGGCCCAGACUCCUACGGGAGGCAGCAGUGGGGAAUAUUGCACAAUGGGCGCAAGCCUGAUGCAGCGACGCCGCGUGGGGGAUUACGGCCUUCGGGUUGUAAACUCCUUUCGCCAGGGACGAAGCGUUUUGUGACGGUACCUGGAGAAGAAGCACCGGCUAACUACGUG